GAUGAACGCUGGCGGCGUGCUUAACACAUGCAAGUCGAACGAAGCACCUCUCCCGAAGAUUGACACAGCUUGCUGUAGAUUGAUUCAUUUGAGGUGACUGAGUGGCGGACGGGUGAGUAACGCGUGGGUAACCUGCCUCAUAGAGGGGGACAACAGUUGGAAACGACUGCUAAUACCGCAUAGUAAGACGUAUUCGCAUGUUUUCUUCUUGAAAGAUUUAUCGCUAUGAGAUGGACCCGCGUCUGAUUAGCUAGUUGGUAAGGUAACGGCUUACCAAGGCGACGAUCAGGAGCCGGCUUGAGAGAGUGAACGGCUACAUUGGGACUGAGACACGGCCCAAACUCCUACGGGAGGCAGCAGUGGGGAAUAUUGCACAAUGGGGGAAAACCUGAUGCAGCGACGCCGGGUGAGUGAAGAAGUAUUUCGGUAUGUAAAGCUCUAUCAGCAGGGAAGAUAAUGACGGUACCUGACUAAGAAGCCCCGGCUAACUACGUG
rnacentral:rRNA from 1 species